rnacentral:rRNA from 1 species
AUUGAACGCUGGCGGCAGGCCUAACACAUGCAAGUCGAGCGGAUGAAGGGAGCUUGCUCCUGGAUUCAGCGGCGGACGGGUGAGUAAUGCCUAGGAAUCUGCCUGGCAGUGGGGGAUAACGUCCGGAAACGGGUGCUAAUACCGCAUACGUCCUGAGGGAGAAAGUGGGGGAUCUUCGGACCUCACGCUAUCAGAUGAGCCUAGGUCGGAUUAGCUAGUUGGUGGGGUAAAGGCCUACCAAGGCGACGAUCCGUAACUGGUCUGAGAGGAUGAUCAGUCACACUGGAACUGAGACACGGUCCAGACUCCUACGGGAGGCAGCAGUGGGGAAUAUUGGACAAUGGGCGAAAGCCUGAUCCAGCCAUGCCGCGUGUGUGAAGAAGGUCUUCGGAUUGUAAAGCACUUUAAGUUGGGAGGAAGGGCAGUAAGUUAAUACCUUGCUGUUUUGACGUUACCAACAGAAUAAGCACCGGCUAACUUCGUG